rnacentral:rRNA from 1 species
GACGAACGCUGGCGGCGUGCCUAAUACAUGCAAGUAGAACGCUGAAGAGAGGAGCUUACUCUUCUUGGAUGAGUUGCUAACGUGUGAGUAACGCGUAGGUAACCUUCCUUGUAGCGGGGGAUAACUAUUUGAAACGAUAUCUAAUACCGCAUAACAAUGGAUGACCCAUGUCAUUUAUUUUAAAGUGGCAAUUGCUCCACUACAAGAUGUACCUGCGUUUUAUUAGCUAGUAGGUGAGGUAAUGGCUCACCUAGGCGACGAUACAUAGCCGACCUGAGAGGGUGAGCGGCCAAACUGGGAAUGAGAAAAGGCCAAGAAGCAUAAGGGAGGCAGCAGAAGGGAAUAUGGGGAAAUGGGGGCAAAACAGACCGAGAAAAGCCGAGGGAGGGAAGAAGGGUGUAGGAUCGGAAAGAUAUGUUGUAAGUCAAGAAAGGGUGGGAGAGUGGAAAGUUCACACUGUGACGGUAGCUGAAAAGAAAGGGACGGCUAACUACGUG